ACCAGAUGUCCCCUCUUGGCUGCAUGGCUGGGGGAGGAAAUGGAUUCCGCUUCGGGAGGGUCUCGCGGCCUAUCAGCUUGUUGGUGAGGUAAUGGCUCACCAAGGCGUCGACGGGUAGCUAGUCUGAGAGGACGGAUAGCCACACUGGGACUGAGACACGGCCCAGACUCCUACGGGAGGCAGCAGUGGGGAAUCUUGCGCAAUGGGCGGAAGCCUGACGCAGCAACGCCGCGUGGGGGAUGAAGGCUUUCGGGUUGUAAACCCCUUUCAGCAGGGACGAUUCUGACGGUACCUGCAGAAGAAGGACCGGCCAACUACGUGCCAGCAGCCGCGGUAAUACGUAGGGUCCGAGCGUUGUCCGGAUUUAUUGGGCGUAAAGAGCUCGUAGGUGGCUCCGUAAGUCGGGUGUGAAAACCCCAGGCUCAACCUGGGGACGCCACUUGAUACUGCGGUGGCUUGAGUCUGGUAGGGGAUCUCGGAAUUCCUGGUGUAGCGGUGAAAUGCGCAGAUAUCAGGAGGAACACCAGUGGCGAAGGCGGAGAUCUGGGCCAGUACUGACACUGAGGAGCGAAAGCGUGGGGAGCGAACAGGAUUAGAUACCCUGGUAGUCCACGCCGUAAACGUUGGGCACUAGGUGUGGGGACCUAUCGACGGUCUCCGUGCCGUAGCGAACGCAUUAAGUGCCCCGC
rnacentral:rRNA from 1 species